CAAUAAAAGCUUGUGUUUUAAAAGCACAAAGUUAUUGGGUUACUAAAAAUUAAUAAACUCCAUCCCAUCAACAAGUAAAUUUGAAACCAUUUCUUUUUUUUUUUUUAAAUAACUUUUUAUUGACAGAACCCAUGCUAGGGUAACUUUUUACAGCAUUAUUCCUUGCACUCACUUCUGUUCCGAUUUUCCCCCUCCCUUCCUCUACCCCCUCCCCCAGAUGGCAAGCAGUCCUUUACAUGUUGAAUAGGUUACAGUAGAUCCUAGAUACAAUAUAUGUGUGUAGAACCGAACAGUUUUCUUGUUGUACAGGGAGAAUUGGAUUCAGAAGGUAUAAAUAACAAGGAAGAAAAACAAAAAUGCAAGCAGUUUAUAUUCAUUUCCCAGUGUUCUUUCUUUGGGUGCAGCUGCUUCUGUCCAUCCUUGAUCAAUUGAAACUGAAUUAGCUCUCUUUAACAAAGAGAUCCACUUCCAUCAGAAUACAUCCUCAAACAAUAUCGUUGUCGAAGUGUAUAAUGAUCUCCUGGUUCUGCUCAUUUCACUUAGCAUCAGUUCAUGUAAGUCUCUCCAAGCCUCUCUGUAUUCAUCCUGCUGGUCAUUCCUUACAGAACAAUAAUAUUCCAUAACGUUCAUAUACCACAAUUUACUCAACCGUUCUCCAAUUGACGGGCAUCCAUUCAUUUUCCACCUUCUAGCCCCUACAAACAGGGCUGCCACAAACAUUUUGGCACAUAUAGGUCCCUUUACCUUCUUUAGUAUCUCUUUGGGGUAUAAGCCCAGUGGAAACACUGCUGGAUCAAAGGGUAUGCACAGUUUGAUAACUUUUUGAGCAUAGUUCCAAAUUGCUCUCCAGAAUGGCUGAAUUUGAAACCAUUUCAAACCAAUUUAGAGCGUCUCCUAAAAACAGAAUUGCUGCUAUUAUGAAUAUUUGGUAGAAAAUAAAAUGUUGCUGAAACAAAACAUCUAGAUGUUCAGAUAUUUUUUUUAAACCAAUGUGUAGUGUGGGUAUAAUGCUGGAUCUGAAGUCAGAACCCACAUUUGAAUCUUGAUGCUACUAUUUUUAUUAAGAGUGAGUUAAUUAUAUCAAUUACCUGUCCUUCAAGUCCCACAUGUGCAAAUGAACUAUAUAAUGUUUAAGGUCCCUUUCAGUUCUAAGUCUAUAAUCUAUAGGACUUCCUCAUUAAGCAAUAGAAAUUCUCGAUGUGUACAUCUGUGGUCAUGAAAAUGUUUAAUUUUUGAUAUAGGAAUGUGAAGGCUAGCUUCUCUACUUUACAAGGUUUUGUAACAUAUCUUAUAGAUUUAGAAUUGAAGGGAAUUUAGAAAUUAUCUACUUGAGGCUUUAUCAACAUCAUCUCUCCCCUCCCCCCAAGCCUCAGGUUACAGAUGCAUUUCGUCCAGAGUUGAAAUGAAUUGUCCCACAGCCAUACAAUAUGUGACAGAGACAGGAUUUUAACACAUAUUCUGUAACCUUUCCAAUAACCACGAUGUCUUCUACCAUGUUCUGGCAAAUGUUGCUAAAAGGAUAUACAGUUCCUGAAUAUAAAGUUAAAUUAGAAAGCUUAGCAGCAUGAUAAUUAUUAAUUAAUUCUGGUCAAGUUUUAAAAUUCCUAAUGUUAUACAUGGACUUUUUGGGGGGAGGGGAAGGGAAUCACAUUUUAAAAAAAAGUUCUCAAGUUUAAUUUCACUACUGCGUUCAAAAAUGUUCCUUUUGCGGCGCUACGUUGGAAGAAGACGAGGACUUUAAAAUACUGUCUUUUAAACUUGGAUUACUUAGUGGUAGCAGCAGCCAGUGGUUGAGGUGGGGCAACCGAAACCCAUCUUUUUCCAGCAUAUGUCGCCGCAUCCACAUUGAAUCAGCCUGCUCCAGUCUAGGUUUCUGAAAACUGGAAUUGCAGAUCCCUGGUGUGUCUGAAUGAAAACAAAACAAUGGAAAGGGGGAAAGGAUUGGAAAAGGGAGAGAGAAUAAAAAGCUGGGGGAGCUAGUUGAUCGGGAGAGGUUAAGGACAAGGAAAAAAAAUUAAAUUUGAUCAGAACCACGCCUCCCUCAGAGCACCAGAGCGUGCUUACUGGAGCCACGUUUGGAGGAUCCAAAGGAAUUCUGCUCUAAACGUCGCUGAGUUUUUAACUGGAAAGAAAAUACUUUGAGCAUUUCUUUCACUCGGGAGCCGGGUUUCUCGCCUCUCCCCCUCCCUGUCCUGUCCUAACGUUCCGAAAGCCAGAAAUGUACAAGUGUAAACUGAAAUAUUAGUUCUGGUCUAGUGUGGGUCAGAAAUUUAUGGAUAAAUGAGGGAACCCGGGGGGGGGGUAUAGGAGGAGAAAACGACAGCUUCGGGGGAACAAAGAAAAGUUAGUCCAAACCCUACUACUGCGUGUGUGGUUUUUGCAUUUUCUCCCUUCGGGUGGGUAUGUGGGAGUCUCCUUGGAGCUUGUGGGAGCCUGUCCCAAGCCUGCUCGCUUCUAUACAAACAUCUGUGAAAUGCUACGGCUAGGGCCGCGGGCUGGAGGGCAGGUAGGAAGGGCAUCGGGAGUCUAGAUGUCAGGCGACCCGCUGCCCACUACUAGCGGGGGAGGCAGCUUCGGCCCUGAGACUGAGGAGAAGAGAGGGGAAGGGGGGCUGUGGGAGCCCCGAAACCAGGGAGCUGAGGAUUGUGGGCCCAGGGGCUAGCCCUGCUUCUAGACCGCCUGAGGGAAAAGAAAAGAGGGGAGGGGGUGGGGAGAAGAGGCGGGACGAAGAAAAAAGGAGCAAACGGGCGGGAGGGAGGGAAGUGAAGAGGGGAGGGGAGGGAAGAAGCGGGAGAGGCCACGUCACGGCUAUUGUGUCUUUCCCCCCCUCGCUUAUAAAGCCCGAUGCGCUCAGUUCCUCAGCGCGCCUGGGUCUGGAAUCAGACACUGCUUUAAUACUUGGAGCGCGCUCACCAAGCGGAGCUGUUCGUAUAGUAUUGCAUCUCAUUGGGAGGGCCCAGAUCGACAGACAGAGCGGCCAUGCGGACAGCGAUAGCGGCAAAACUAUGUCUGGGGCUCCUGCUCCUGGCACUGCUGUUACCCGUACAGAUUUAUUCUCAAAAUGCAACCACAGUACCAAGUAUAACCAACACUUCAAUGAGCACUGCCAUUCUGACAACAACUAGACAGACACCAAACAAGACUACUUCUACUUCUUCUACUACUACUACUAUUGCUACUACUAGUACUACUACUGCUACUACAGGAAGUGGAAAUUCCCUGCAGUCAACUGCCAGCCUCUUCAUCAUCUCUCUCUCUGUUCUACAUCUCUACUGCUAAGAGACUCAGUCAAGCCAACAGCAAUGCUUCCCUAACCCAUCUUCCUGAACCAUCUGAGAUGACUACAUCUACUAGUCAGUGUGGCAAAGAAGGAAACAAAAUCUACAGUCAAUGUCUUGGCCCCCCACCCACUCUAAUUUCACACCUUUAAAUUUAUUGACAUAUUGGUUCCAGAGAAAGUCUCAAGCUAAUUUCCCAUCUGUUGAAUACAUAAUUUGAGAAGGAUCUACCUGUAUGAUUUCAUGGGACUAACUGAUGUUGGACUUUUUAGUUCAGUGUUUAAACCAGUUGGAACUUCGAAGAGCGAGACUGAAAACAGAUGUCAUCCACUUAAUUCAAGAUUUAAAAUUCAAUAAAUAUGAACAACUAGAACUCUCUCUACUUUGGGAACAAAAGGGUAGAUUUUUGUCUUGAUCCAGAAAAGGGAAAAGGGUAAAGGGUGUGGAAAAGAGACUUGGUUUUCACUUUGGUUCAUUAGCCAUAAAAUGAUUAGAUGGUAUAAACAACUUCCAUGUUUCUAUUUAUAUGAAUGAUGGAAGAGGCAUCAUCAAUCUUUGGUAGUAAAUUCUCCAUGUGUUUCAGCAGUACUAAUUUAAUGCCUAUAUACUCUAGAUAAGUUUUAAAACAUUGAAGUAUCACUAUUCUCAUAAAAAAUAAAUUAUUUACUCUGGGGCUUUGGAUUUGACAUAGCAUUUAAAUUGCUAUAUCACAAAUGACAUGUGCCAGAGCAGUGAUGGAUUGGAACCUUUCCACAAUGAAAACAAAAUGAGUAAAAUUGGCUUUCAUAAUAUUCUGUAGAAAACUAGACAUUCCCAUUACUUCCUCAUCUAACAAAAUGUUAGAUUUCAUUAGUUAUCUUGCUUUCCUUAAUUCCAAAGACUUUUGAAGUACACGACCUCUUGAAUAACUUUCAAAUGUUUUAUUUCUACAUAUGUCAAAUAGCUAACAGUUUUGAAAAUGAUCUGUUGUGAAGGUUGAUUAUUUUAAAAUCUCUAAGAGGCAAGCGUGUAAAAGCCAAACAACAAGAAAAAUUGAGUAUUUGGAAUGUAAGGACUAGGAGCUUAAUUGCAUCAUUAUAAGUUCACAAGAUCUUUUAUACUAUUUCUGUAAAUACUUUUUUUUAAAAAGAAAUUUUGUGAAUCAAAGUAGCUUACAACUGAGACUUGUCAUUCAAUAUUUUUAGAUAUAGAAUAUGAUAUUAAGCCUAAAGUUGGCCUCAUUCAGGGAAGCAAAUAUUUCUCCUUUCCUGCUUUAAAAAAAAAAACCACACACACAAAACUACUGUAAUGUUGAAAACUUCUAAAGAAAUCCUUUUUUUUUUUUGGUUCACAUGGUCACACACUGUUGCUUAGAUUUGAGGUAUCCAAUAUGACUGUAUUAUCCUAACUUCAUAAAAAACAAAGUUUGCUGUCCUUAAUAGUCAACCCAGAAACCUCCUCAUUCAAAAAGUGUCACAAGCUACUGUGUGUGUGAAUGAACACUCCUUUAUGCUCUAUUUUGUAUGCUGUACUAUGUUUGGGGUUCUUGUAUAAUGUGUUUGUGUCCUUAUGCUUUGAUUCAUAGUAACUACUCUAAUGUUAUGGAAUUGAUUUGCAUUGAACACAAACUGUAAAUAAAAAGAAAUAAACCCGAAUUGAAAACUUAUGUA